rnacentral:rRNA from 1 species
UACAGAGGGGGCCAGCGUUAUUCGGAAUUAUUGGGCGUAAAGGGCGCGUAGGCGCCAUGCGUGUCUUCCGUGAAAUCCCUCGGCUUAACUGAGGACGUGCGGAAGAAAACUGCAAGGCUCGAGUCCGGGAGAGGGGGGUGGAAUUCCCAGUGUAGCGGUGAAAUGCGUAGAUAUUGGGAGGAACACCGGGUGGCGAAGGCGGCCCCCUGGACCGGUACUGACGCUGAGGCGCGAAAGCGUGGGGAGCGAACAGG